UUCCUAUCUGGGGAGAGAAACAAGGGGUGUAAAGCAUCAUGAUCUGGGCUGGCUUCCACAAGGCAUUCCUUUCAGGGAAAACGUCAGCUGUUCAGCUAGCAAUCACACAGGUAUUUUUAUUUAAAUAAAUCCAUACCCUUCCCCUCUCUUGGAGUCCUGACACACUUGCUGCGCAUUAACACCUCUAACCAGCCCAGAAACCGUAUGAACAACUUUGUGAACUGCAGCCCAUCAACGCCAGAUGAAGUCUGCUGACAGAGCAUCAAUGAGAGAUGCACGGCACGCUCCCUCCGCAAGACUGGGCAUGCUGCCCCUGUGCUGCCCACCUUGACAGCAAAAUACUCAGACAAGCCUGUGGAGACCGAAUAAAAUUUAUGUCUUCGGUGAUGAUGUGAACUGAAAGCUGCAGAGCAGAGGGAAGGUAAUUUUUUAGACAUUAAUCUAUGCAGGCUAGAACCAAACUAAGACUAUUUUAAUUCACAUUUGUUUGCAAUUAGUAAAGUCUGUACGGGAUUUUAAAAAACACAUUAUCAUUAAAUAUCUUUAAACUGAUUAGGAAUUUGCAGUAUUUUUAAUAAGUUAAGGCAGAGUUCAAUCCACAUGCAGACUAUAUGAAAAUAAUUAACAAUAUGAAUUAAAAGAGAAUUAAUCUGAUUCUGAAUGACAUAACUAAUUAACCACAACUUUUGUUUUAUUGACAGAUCAGUUCUUAGCUUGUGCAACUCUCUUUGUUGAGAGCCAUUUAAUGUCAAUACUGAAUUAACGCUUAACAUAGUUGACUAUGGCAGAGUCAGCAUUUGUGCCCCCUUUGUUUGUUGUCUUAAUGCAUCUCUGAGACAUUCAAGUUUUCAUCAGGAAAAACAGAUCAACCACUUUCUGGUUUCCAGCUAAUACACAGGCUGAAGAAUUUCCGAAUGCAUCUUGGGCAACACGGGUGAAAAUUUGCAGAGGGCUCUGAACAUGAACAUACCCCAGAAUAUAUGUUGAAGCAAAG